CCUGAAGAAUUACUUUUCUGAUUGUUUUUUUUUUUGUUGUUGUUAUUGUUUUUUUCAGAUUCAACACCAAAAAAAGCAGGGAGAAACUAAGACUCAAUCAAGGCUGUAGCUUAAAUGCAUUUGAAGGGAGUUUACUACUGUGUUACUGGGCAUUUUUUUUCUUGUAUCAUCAACAGACUUGGAAAAAACUCACUUUUUACUAUAGAUUUUAUUCUAUACAACAUUAAUGCAGAUACAAGCAGCCAGUGUCUACUGAGAGAAUUCUUACCCUCUUCUCCAGAGCAUAUUAUUUUGCACCUCUUCUGUGAAGGCUAGGAGAAUGAUUGCUUGUAAGGGAAAUUUUUAAAGUAGUGUUCAGUAACUUCAAAUGAAUAAGAUGGACCGUCACAUUGAUCUAUUUUAAAACUACUCUUUCAAACAUAUGAAGUAUUUGACUUUUCCCAGUGGGUUCCCAUGUACUUCAAAGACCCUGCUGUAGUUUGCUAGUUCUCUGUGUUAAUAGAAUCUUCCAUGUAAGAGUUCCACAUCAAAGGCAAGGACAAAAUAAAACGUCUCAAGUUGACUCAUGCCUUUGUGAAGCUUGUCUUUGAUAAUAAGUGGAACUGAGUCUAUAUUAUCAUCUUGGCACAACAGCAGCAACCAGCCAGCUCUUGGAAUCUCUCAUGCUUUCCUCCUAAGAAAACAAGAGGUGGUUUGCAUGUUCCUUCAUUGACUCAGUGAGUUACAUCAGUCAUCCUGGGAAAGAGAAUUAUAAUUGAAAGGAAUGACACUAUUAUGCUGGUCUCCUCAGUGCUGGGAGCUGACUAGCCAAGAUUGUUUUUCUUCCUUUUACAUGGGCUAUGAGAAGGAUCUGGUUUCAGUUCUUGGUAUUGCACCUGUUUAAACAGAGUUCAGAGAAAGACUGGUCAGGUGGUCAUUUUCUGGCAAAGGAAGGAAAAGCAAAGGAAUGAGAGACUGUGUUUGGAGUCAGGGGUGGGAAGAGUGCUCACCCUGGAAGCUGUAUGAGAUCUGCAGCUGGGAUGCAGAAAACAAUAGAGUGAUACAGCAAGAAUCAGAAGGGAAAUCCUGCCAGAAAUUACAUGAGAGCCCUGAUGUGAACUUUGGUUAAUAGGCUGGGUCUUCACUGUCCGUAACACAAAGCAAAACCAUCUUUAUCUGUUUUGAAAGACUGGAUAACGGUUCUUUGCAAUUUGUUUGUUUAAUACAGGCUUAAUCUCCCUCCAGCCCACUCUCCUGUCUGACACCAAAUCAAAAACUCAACUGAAACAAAAGAAAAAAGGUAUUGCUGCCAGUAGCUUUAAGAUUUCGAUUAAAAACAUUUUUCAUUCAUUCUGAAAAUAGUUGAUGAUUAAUGGGCAUUAGUUAACCUCAAAGAAUUUUAAAGGACUGAGAUGUGCCCCAGUCUUCAAACACCAGUUUUUCUCCCUGGCCCCACCCCCCACUAGUCUCCACGCAGUUUUAAAACUCAAUCCCUGCAGAUUAUGCAAAGAAAGGUUUUUCACAUGUCCUUUGGCACUUCUGCUUUCAUCAUCUAUAGUCCCAUUUCCUCCCUUCAGGUAAUGGUGACUUCCCUUCACAAACUCCAGCUGA